GACGAACGCCGUCGGCGUGCUUAACACAUGCAAGUCGAACGGAAAGGCCCUGCUUUUGUGGGGUGCUCGAGUGGCGAACGGGUGAGUAACACGUGAGUAACCUGCCCUUGACUUUGGGAUAACUUCAGGAAACUGGGGCUAAUACCGGAUAGGAGCUCCUGCUGCAUGGUGGGGGUUGGAAAGUUUCGGCGGUUGGGGAUGGACUCGCGGCUUAUCAGCUUGUUGGUGGGGUAGUGGCUUACCAAGGCUUUGACGGGUAGCCGGCCUGAGAGGGUGACCGGCCACAUUGGGACUGAGAUACGGCCCAGACUCCUACGGGAGGCAGCAGUGGGGAAUAUUGCACAAUGGGCGGAAGCCUGAUGCAGCAACGCCGCGUGCGGGAUGACGGCCUUCGGGUUGUAAACCGCUUUCGCCUGUGACGAAGCGUGAGUGACGGUAAUGGGUAAAGAAGCACCGGCUAACUACGUGCCAGCAGCCGCGGUGAUACGUAGGGUGCGAGCGUUGUCCGGAUUUAUUGGGCGUAAAGGGCUCGUAGGUGGUUGAUCGCGUCGGAAGUGUAAUCUUGGGGCUUAACCCUGAGCGUGCUUUCGAUACGGGUUGACUUGAGGAAGGUAGGGGAGAAUGGAAUUCCUGGUGGAGCGGUGGAAUGCGCAGAUAUCAGGAGGAACACCAGUGGCGAAGGCGGUUCUCUGGGCCUUUCCUGACGCUGAGGAGCGAAAGCGUGGGGAGCGAACAGGCUUAGAUACCCUGGUAGUCCACGCUGUAAACGGUGGGUACUAGGUGUGGGGUCCAUUCCACGGGUUCCGUGCCGUAGCUAACGCUUUAAGUACCCCGCCUGGGGAGUACGGCCGCAAGGCUAAAACUCAAAGGAAUUGACGGGGCCCCGCACAAGCGGCGGAGCAUGCGGAUUAAUUCGAUGCAACGCGUAGAACCUUACCUGGGUUUGACAUGGAUCGGGAGUGCUCAGAGAUGGGUGUGCCUCUUUUGGGGUCGGUUCACAGGUGGUGCAUGGCUGUCGUCAGCUCGUGUCGUGAGAUGUUGGGUUAAGUCCCGCAACGAGCGCAACCCUUGUUCACUGUUGCCAGCACGUUAUGGUGGGGACUCAGUGGAGACCGCCGGGGUCAACUCGGAGGAAGGUGGGGAUGACGUCAAGUCAUCAUGCCCCUUAUGUCCAGGGCUUCACGCAUGCUACAAUGGCUGGUACAGAGAGUGGCGAGCCUGUGAGGGUGAGCGAAUCUCGGAAAGCCGGUCUCAGUUCGGAUUGGGGUCUGCAACUCGACCUCAUGAAGUCGGAGUCGCUAGUAAUCGCAGAUCAGCAACGCUGCGGUGAAUACGUUCCCGGGGCU
rnacentral:rRNA from 1 species